rnacentral:rRNA from 1 species
GACGAACGCUGGCGGCGUGCUUAACACAUGCAAGUCGAACGAAAAUACCAAGCUUGCUUGGUUGAUUAGUGGCGAACGGGUGAGUAACACGUGAGUAACCUGCCCCUUACUUUCCUGGAUAACUGCUCGAAAGGGUAGCUAAUACGGGAUAUUCUGACCAGCCUGCAUGGGUUGGUUUGGAAAGGUUGUUUUUCUGGUAAGGGAUGGGCUCGCGGCCUAUCAGCUUGUUGGUGGGGUGAUGGCCUACCAAGGCUUUGACGGGUAGCCGGCCUGAGAGGGUGGACGGUCACACUGGGACUGAGAUACGGCCCGGACUCCUACGGGAGGCAGCAGUGGGGAAUAUUGCACAAUGGGCGCAAGCCUGAUGCAGCGACGCCGCGUGAGGGAUGAAGGCCUUCGGGUUGUAAACCUCUUUCGUCAGGGAACAAGGCACUGCUUUUUUGGUGGUGUUGAGGGUACCUGGAGAAGAAGCGCCGGCUAACUACGUG